UUUAUGCUCUCAGCCAAUUGCAAAGCUGCUCUCUUCUCUGUCCCGCCUACCACUUCCUCUCAUCUUUCUGUCUUUCAUCAUCACCAUGCUUCCUGUACGUAUCCUGUUCCUGUACUCCCAGACCAGCGUGCUUGGUGCAAGAACUCUGAAGACAAGAUUGGCUGGUUUCGCUUCUUCCUCACCCUGGAUCCCUUAUAGGAAUCACAGAUGGAUGAUUUGAGAUGAGCCUUAAAGGAAAGGAAAAUGUAUCUUUCUCUCCACCAGCAUCAACUGUAAGAGAGAAUUUGGGGCCUGAAGAUUAAAAGAUUUGCCCUGUCUCCGAUCUGCAUUACAAGGACUCUGAAGUUAUGUCCAGGAAAGGCUAUACUAAAAACAGGAUAAAUAAUAAAACUAGAUUGAAUGGAUGUGUAAAAGUUGGG
rnacentral:lncRNA from 1 species